CUCCCGCACGCUGCAGUAAACCUCGCGCGCCACGUGGGUUUUGUUGUGUCUUGCAUCCUCCUUUCGCGUCCAAGAAGAAGAAGACCAAGAAGAAGAAGAACAAUCUGUAUAUUUUGUACAUACAAGUGCUGAGGAUCAAACCCAGGGCCUUGGGCACGGCGAGAGAGUGCUCUACCACUGAGCCAACAACAGCGGUCUGUCCCUGAACCUGGAACUCAGCAGGAUGCUCCAGUCUUUUGUCUUCCCAGAGUUGGAUUUGCCUGGCUUUUUAUGUGGGUCCUGGGUAUUCAAGCUUGGGUCUUCACGCUGGAGUGGCAAG